CCUACGGGAGGCAGCAGUGGGGGAUAUUGCACAAUGGGGGAAACCCUGAUGCAGCGACGCCGCGUGUGGGAAGACGGUCCUAUGGAUUGUAAACCACUGUUCCCAGGGACGAAGAUGACGGUACCUGGGGAGGAAGCUCCGACUAACUACGUGCCAGCAGCCGCGGUACUACGGAGGGACCAAGCGUUGUCCGGAAUUACUGGGUGUAAAGGGAGCGUAGGCGGGAUGGCAAGUUGGGUGUUAAAUCUACCGGCUCAACUGGUAGUCGCACUCAAAACUGCUAUUCUUGAGUGAAGUAGAGGCAGGCGGAAUGCCUAGUGUAGCGGUGAAAUGCGUAGAUAUCAGGAGGAACACCAGUGGCGAAGGCGGCCUGCUGGGCUUUUACUGACGCUGAGGCUCGAAAGUGUGGGGAGCAAACAGGAUUAGAUGCCCCAGUAGUC
rnacentral:rRNA from 1 species